rnacentral:rRNA from 1 species
GACGAACGCUGGCGGUGUGCUUAACACAUGCAAGUCGAACGGUAAGGCCCUUUCGGGGGUACACGAGUGGCGAACGGGUGAGUAACACGUGAGUAACCUGCCCUCAUCUCUGGGAUAACAGUCGGAAACGGUUGCUAAUACUGGAUAUGAGCCUGCAAGGCAUCUUGUGGGUUGGGAAGAUUUUUUGGUUGGGGAUGGACUUGCGGCCUAUCAGCUUGUUGGUGAGGUAGUGGCUCACCAAGGCUUCGACGGGUAGCCGGCCUGAGAGGGCGACCGGCCACAUUGGGACUGAGAUACGGCCCAAACUCCUACGGGAGGCAGCAGUGGGGAAUAUUGCACAAUGGACGGAAGUCUGAUGCAGCAACGCCGCGUGCGGGAUGACGGCCUUCGGGUUGUAAACCGCUUUCAAUUGUGACGAAGCUUUUUGUGACGGUAGCAGUAGAAGAAGCACCGGCUAACUACGUG